CUGGGAAGGAAUUGGGAGCGCUCUCCCUUCCAGUGCCGCUUUUACUGGGAGCGCUGGGAACGAUGGUGAGAGCACCGGGCAGGAAAUGGGAGCGCUCUGCCUGCCAGUCCCGCCCUUACUGGGAGCACUAGGAACGAUGCACCUCCUCCUCCCCCAGUGGGUGCAGGGAGACAGGCAAUGGAGGUUUCUGCUCAGUUCAUCACCUGUUGUUUCUCCAGUUGCUCAUGGAUAGGAGUCAUUCCCCUGCUGUGCCAGGAGUCCCUCCUGGAGAAACUUCUCCAUGAACUUCUCCAAGGUUUUACCACCAUUUCUAACUGGCCCAGCCUUGGCUGGCAGCUGGUCCAUCCUGGAGCUGGCUGGAAUUGACUCUGCAGGACAUGGAGGAGCAGCUGCUUCCAGCAGCCUCUCACAGAAGGUGCUUCUAGACUCCCCCCUUACCAAAGCCUGGCCAUGGAAAUCUAGUAUAAGUAUGGGUGACGUUAGGAUGUUUGUAUCCCCAUUCGUGUGUGUUAUUUAUGCUGGAUAUUAUGUUCUGUGCCUUCAAGACUGGCUCUGCAGAGUGAAAGUUUUGGUUUGGGCCUCUUAUCAGCCACUCCCCCACAGCCAGCGGGACACAGAGACGGGACAGAACAUAGUGCUGUUUUUGAUUUUUGCCCUGCUUUUCGCUUUGCUCUUGCUUCUGCUUUGCUUCUGCUUGCUCUUGUUUUAUGCUUCUUCUCAUUAGUUAGUUUAGCUAAACAGUCCAAAUUUCUUCCUGGACUGUUUCUCCUUUCCUUUUUGGAUCUACCCGAACCUGCUCCGGACUUGGACCUGGGAAAUAACGAGUUUGCACCUUGAGGCUUCAGCAGCUGCCCCAGUGCUGGAGGGACUGAUAACAAAGCAACAACCCCAGGAGAGACUUUCUGAAUUUGUCAUCUUUUUCAGAGUGGUGAAAGAGUGGUGUCAUCUGGUAUUGUUCAUUUUGUGUGCUGGGGGGUGCUGUGCCUGUUAAAUAAACAGGUUCUUUCCACUUCUCUCCGGGGAAUUCUUCCCGAACCGGUUGGGGGGAGGGGCCGUGUGGGUUUGCUUUCUGGAGGGGCCUUUCUGGGGAUUCUCUCCCAAUUUUGCCCUAAACCAGGACACACCUGCUAAGCACAAAUGAUCAUGGGAUACUCCAUUCCUUAUCCAUCCCCCAGACAGGUUUGAGGAAUAAACCUUGUGUAAGCUGACCAGGUGCAGAGGAUUUUUCCUUUGACAACACGGGGGAUGCUCUGGGGGGCUGUUGAGAGACUGAAAUAUUGUGGUUCAUGGCUUAAACUUUGUCAGGAAGGACUUUUUGCCCAUUAUGGCAGCGUGUCCAGAGGAGGGCAACAAGGCUAGUGCUGGAUUUGGAACACUAGCCCUAUGAGAAAAAACUGAGGGAGCUGGGGAUGUUUAGCCUGGAGAAAAGGAGACUCAGAGGUGACCUUAUCACUCUGUACCGCUUCCUGAAAGGUGAUUGUACUCAGGUGGGGAUUGGUCUCUUUCUCCAAGCAGCAACUGACAGAACAAGAGGACAGUCUCAAGCUGUGUAAGAGAAAUAUAGGUUGGAUAUUAGGAAAAAGUUGUUCACUGAAAGAGUCAUAAAGUUCUAGAAUGGCCUGCCCGGGGAGGUGGUGGAGCUGCCGUCCCUGGAUGUGUUUAAAAAAAGACUGGAUAUGGCACUAAGUGGCAUGAUUUAGUUGAGGUGUUUAGGGCAUGGGUUGGACUUGAUGAUCUUGAAGGUCUCUUCCAACACAGUCAUUCUGUGAAUUCUGUGAACUGUGCAAAGAAGCUGCAACCACCCAAGUUCACCCCUCCCUGAAUGUGCCUCCUGAGGGGAAUUUUUGGGCUGUGAGUUGAGCUGAGGGACCUUGAGAUAAGGGAAAUAUGGCUCUUGUCCAGUGAUCUCAGGUCUAGGGAGAACUAAACAAGGCUGAGGGAGAAGAAUGAAUCCACCAGAAAGCCAAGCCCAGAGCUGUCCUGAAAAUCAUCCCAGGCUGGGGUCGGGCUGGGGUCAGCCACAGCCCCCAGACUCAUUUACUGAGACCAGAUUUACAUCCCCAUUACUCACUUAAGGGGGGAGGUGAAGAGUUUUGGGGGUGUGCGGUAACCCCUGCCCAGGGGGAGUGAACACCACCCCCCUUACCUAAACUGGCUCAGGUAUAAACCCCACAGUCUGGGAAGGCCACCCACACCCAGGGAAGGUCUCUGUCCCUGUCACUUUAUUUCUCUCCCCUCUUUUCUCUUUCACAGGCUGGAAGGGUUUGCCAAAUGUGAGAAUCAUUCUUCUCUUUGUCCCUGUCACCUUUGUGACAGCUGCACAGAAUUAUUCUUUCAUUUUAAUAAUCUAUAUUGGGCUGAAUUUCCACUUUUUUUUUAAUUGCAACCUGCCAGCAGCUGAGCUGGAGCUGUGCAGGAACUGAUGAAACUCUCAAUUGCCACCAUAAUUGUUUGUAUUGUCAGUUUAUUCAUGUUUGGGAUUUGUUUGCAUUUUCAUCACAGGUGACUUGUGGGAAGAGCAAAUAUUCCUGAAAGCAUUUUAUGUAGUUAAAUUUGAUUUCUGCCAAGUUUAAUUUGUCCGGUGCUGAAGGGAUGCUCAAGGGGUCUCCAUGCCUCUUACCCUGGGGUAUGCUUGGGAGGGAAUUGGGGAGGUUGUCCCUAUCCCUCCUGUUAUAGAUUAAUAAUGUAAUAGUCGGCUCACACAAUUAAGAGGUAGAUAUUAUGUGGAUGUUAAAAUGUAUAGUGAUGUUAUUGUAAUAUGUCUUCCCAUAGUCCUCUUUCCCCUUCCCCUUUCAAUAGCCUCUGUAGUCAGGACAUUUUGAGAAGGCUGGCUUAUUACCAGGAGGUACAGCGUAACAAUACCUGAUCUCCAGUCAAGAUGAAAGAAAGUAAUCUCCACCAAUGGACAGCAGAGAAGGAGUUGACUGACAAAACUUUGAGAGGGGCUAAGAAUACAAAAGGCAGAGCAUCCAUUUUGUAGAGAAGCACGUGGAUAACAGUCACAGGGGAGGCUCCCAGCACUGUAAUUUUUCCUUAUUUAGUCCUAUGUUAUAAUUUUUGUUGAGAUUUAAUAAGCCUUUUAAAAUUUUAAAAGUGAGAGUAGUUUCUCACAAAUUGAGGGAUUUGUCCAGGAUAUUGAGUAGUUAAAAACGAAGAUCUCAGACAGAGACUCUCUACCGAGUUAAAGUUAGAAAGUGGUGUGCUUAUUACACUGGUGGGCAGCAUGGGGCUCAUCCCCGAAAGGUGUGACCAUGCUGGACAAAGUUCUUUACCCUCUAUUUAUUCCCCAAGAUCUUACAUACAAUACAUAUACAUAACCCCAGCACCUCCCAUCCUUGCUCUCUAUUAAAAUGAGGUUACUAGUCCUUCACACGUGCGCAAUUCUUCUCUUGAAUUGGGUUGGUGGUCUCGAAAUGGGUCAGUGUUCUUGAAAGAUGAAGUCAGGAACGUCUUCAUCAGGUCUCUGUGACCCUCUGGCACAAGCCAAGGCCUCCUGCUUUGUAAUUGCUUAAUGUAAAGUCCAGAUACUAACCAUUGUUCCACUGGUUUCAACAUGUUCUUAUAACGGUUCACUUACUCCACUCCCUUCUGUAAUCAAGCUCAUAAUGAAUCAGUUUUAGUGUAAGCAUAUAACAAUCAUUAACCUACCAUCUACCUACCACCUGAUCAAUGUAAAUUGUUUCUAUCCCUCAGCUAAAAUCUUAAUUUUUUUGAAAUCAUGAUUCAAUAUAAAAUCUCAUCUCUGUGGCCCUGGGAGAUUUUGGAUGAAUGGUGCACCCCUGCUGAAUUUGGCAUCUUGAACGAUGUCUCUUAGGACCAUCAGUGAUAGCAGGUCGACACCAUGGAUAAACAAAGACUAGAUAACGAAAAAGAAAAGGGGGAAGAAGAGAAAAAGCCCCUGAAAACUACAGAUUUAGAAGAUUGUGAGUAUUAGUACAUGUAUGCUUGAAGUAUGAGUGGGGUAGUUCUGGGAGUGUGCUUGGGGUAGAUAAGAAACUUAGAAGAUCCUCAUAAGUAUUCUGGCCAAAUUGUUUGUCUAUAAUUUGGUGUUCAAAUGUCAGCUCCAGGCAAGUCAUACACAGGAUCUGUUCCAGGAGUCUGUUAGAGCUUAAGGACAAGUGUUUUAGAUAUUUAGACAUUUAAGGCAUUUACACAUUUAGGAAUUUAAACAAUUAGGCAUUUAGACAUUUAAGGCGGGACAUGUAGAAGAGGAAAACAGGGACCCCGUAAAAGUGGGGACCCUGUGGCCGGAGGGAUGCAUGUGAUAGAGCGCUAGAGUUAUGGAGACCCAAGAGCAUCUGGAAAUGUCAGAUUGAGGGUCACCAGAUUUAGAGGGUGUUAGAGUAAUGGCAAAACAGACUGUUCAGUGAAGACCGCGCUCGUGUAGAGGCGAGGAGUCACAGCAGCUUUCGCAGCCUGCCAGCAUGGGGUGGAGGGGGCCAGUGUGGCUGCUCCACAUGGAGCAGCGGUGUGCACAGCACUCAGCACGGUGAGCUUUUGGCAUGCACUCGGUGCAGUAACUUCUAGAGCUUACCAGCUGAGGCUUGGGAGAGGGUGCUGCCACUGGUAGCAGCGACUGAAAAAUGCUGCGUGUGGGGGCAUCCUGUGCUAGCCCAGUGAGGAAAGGGAGGCAGGAGGCCCAUAGCUGGAAAGAAACUGCACCUGUGCACGCCUGCUUGAGGUGACUCGGGGACACUAAGCUGUGGAGCCCAGUGGGCUGACCCCGUGGCAGGGUACCCAGGGGCCGGCGCUGGCGGGACUGCCGCUCAGAGAGAACCGGGUGUGCAGGGUUUUCCGAGCGGGAACCAUGGGGAGGAGGUGAGAGAGGUUUCCCUGACCCGCCACAGUGGUUUACACAGGGCGCUGCUGGCAUCUGGGGACCAGCCAGGCAGCACAAGUGUCCUCAGACUGUGGUGUUGGAAUCCGCAGCAGCUCCCUAUAAAAUCUGCCAGCACAAAGCCUUGAGACUUGGGCGCUGCAUAUGUGGCAGCACCUGGAGGUGGCAGAGGGCUGUGGGCAGCAAGAGGGCUGCCAGCAGCGACCGGGACGGCUUUCACUGAGUGCAGAGGCGCCUGGCAGAGCAGGCCUGCUUGCACAGGGUUUCCAGGCCAGGGACUGUGCCAGCCUGCAUAGGUGGUAGUGGGCCGGGGGCACCUGGUGCAGUGACCUUCAACAGUGCCAACCUGACUGAGGGUGACUGUGGCAGUCAGAAGCAAUGGAGCCGAGAGCCGCCAGUCCACUGGUGCAGGCUGCUGGCCAUGCUUGUGGAUCUGGGGGUUUGGAGGCAGGGGCCAGUAUCAGCGGUAGCCACGGACAACAGGGGCCACAGGUAGCGAGGGGCUGGCGCUGAGUGUGGCAAUUUAGGGCACAUGGGACGUGGUUUGUGCUCAGCGCUGCCAGGAGCUGAGAGCUGUCUCUGUUAUGCGGGUUCUCGGGGGCCGUCAUGGGUAGUUUUCAGCAGUUGCUUCAAACCGAGAGGCACCAGAGAGCCAAAACAUGGCAGCAAAAAGAGCAGCAGAGCCGGCCCAGUAGUAUGGGAGGGAGUCCCCGAAUCACAGGUGGGUUGGUUUUUUUUUUUUGCCUUUUGGAAAGAAAGUAAAGGGUUUUUUUUCCUUUGUUCCUUUUUCUUCUUUCUUCACUUGUUUUUGUUCUUUCUCCUUCUAGCUAAUUAGGAAAGCAAGCCUUGUUGAAAAGACAUGUAGUUCGCUAAUUAAAAGUCCCCAAAAGGAGAAGGAGGAUCCUCUCCCUGUGGAAUACUCUGAUUCCUUCCCCCUCAGGGAAAACCCCAGAGCCCUCCCUUGGAGAAGACUUACCAUAGAGUCUUUCACCACCUGGGCGGACAGAAAGGACUUCCUCAUGGACUUUUGCUUAACAAUGAACUACUCCUAUUCCUUUCCCCAUGUGGUGCCCCUAGUGGCCAGCCCCAUCUUCCCUAAGAGCCAAUCCCCUUUGCCCUGCCCAUUAUACCACCCCCAUACCCUCCCCUACUUAAACCUUGUGCAGAGCACAUGGUUUGUCUUUUGUCUCUGGCUCCCCUUACGAGUGUGCAAAUAAAUCUCUUGGGAACUGACCAUAUAAAAGGCCCUUCUGCCUCUCUUUGCUGAGCUAGCUGUGGUGAGUGUGGACUGCCUUGCCUGAAUGCUCACCCAAGCGGCUUUUCCACAGGAGAUGCAUAUUGGGAAAUAGGUAGCAGCAACCACCAUCCAUCCCCACAUUGCUACAUCUCCCCUGUUCUCUUGCCCUCCUCUGGGCUGCUAAGCUUCUAGGCUUUUCUUUUUACUUAAUCUUCAGGCUUUUCAUCUAGUAGUUGCCAAGCAAAUUAGGAAGGAGUGCACUGGAAUGUGAUUUUUAGAGACUGGAGUAUGCCUGUAGUUUCCUGACAUGGCUUAGACCACUGUUACCUCUCAGCCACUGACCACCUUAUAGUUGGGGCUGCUGGGGAGCACUACACAAGCUCCUUAAAUUGAGCAAACAUUGAGAGAGUAUAAAACCCUGGUUUCCUCUUUGUGACUGCUUUCCCAUUGUUCCAAGCUUGUGCAGCCCCAUUUCUGUGGUGCAGGGGGAGUACGAAAUGACCAAACCAGACUGCCGGCCCUGUUUUACUCCCUGUGCCCAGCUCUGUACCCAUGUCUGGUGAUUUCCUCUCUUGAUAAGCUCCUAAGAAUUUUUCUUCAGCUGAGGGCUCUGUCCUGAAAGCUUCACUCUUCUUCCGGGCUUUCCUCCCACAACCAAGAACAAAUACUCACCUUGCAUUGUGUAUAAUUAAUUAGUCAGCACUUGUGGCAGAGUAAGAGGGAAAGUUAAGGAGCUACCAGAGAUGGUUCUGCCAGCAACUAGGAAGAGGGAAAAGAAAUUAGACACUUUCCCAGUUUGUGUCUCACUGCACAUUGCAGAGUCCUAGUGCAGUGGCAUUUCCCUUUUUUUGUAGCUACCCCAGUUGUUUUAGGGUUGAGGGGAUGGUUGGCUCCUGGCAGACCCUUUUUGUAGUUUGUAGCCCCCUUUCCCCUGUAGUUUGAUGCCUCCUUCAUCACUCAUCUCAUCUGUUGUGUUCUUUUUCUUCCCUGAAGCUUUUCCUACUUUUCUGCAAUAUUGCCAAAUGUUGGAAAGAGCAAGAACAGCCUUCAACAAAGCCCUGUAACUGUAAUGAACACUGCCAAAGUGCUACUUCUUUUUCAGGUUAAGAGAAGAGCUUAAGUGUCAAAAGCUUAGAUGCAUGGCACCUAUACCUUUCCCUCCUUCAGUCCAAGAGGACAGGCCUGCCUGUUCCCACCCCAGAGGCACAGAGGGUGCUCUCUGACAGAAUUCUGGAAUGAUUGGGAUUGGAAUGAACCCUGUCUAUUGAUAUAGGGAACUUAUAAUUAAACUAAAAAACAGACUAUAGUUUGCUGUGUAAUCAAGUGUGUUAUCAAGGACAGAUAAUCCUUUACUGUAUAACAACAGAAUUUUGCCUAUUGCUAAAAACUUAUAACCAGAUAAAAACCGGAUCUGCAAUUUAGACUGUGGCCAGAAACCUUAGAAAACAACCAGAUACCCAGAAAGUCUGUGCAAAGACCACAUUCAUCCAAAAGGCAUCCUGAGGAUGACUACUGACCUUCAUCCAAUGACCCCUGCCCAAGACUACCAGAAGACAGUACUGUGAUAGAUGAGUAAUGCAAUGAUUGACUCUCACAAUCAAAAAGGCAAAUAUUAUGUAUAUGUUAAGAGAAGUUUUAUAGAUUUAUAGUUAUGUUUCACCCCAUUGCAUUGUUAUCACAGAAUGGCCUGGGUAGUCAGGGCAUUUGGGAGGGUUGGCUUGUUACUAUGGCAACACGUGUCCUCCAAUCAAGAUGUAAGAAAGUGAUCACCACUGGACAGCGAAGAAGGAGUCAAUUGACAAGACUUUGGGAGGGGCUAAAGGGUUAAAGGAGGGAGCAUUCCUUGUGUGGAUGAGCACAUUGUGGGAAAACAUCAUUUGCUCCAGGUUUGAAAAACACGUUCACUAUCCUGUGAAAAUUUAAAAGUUUAAUAAAGGACAAUAGGAGACAAGGACCAUAGAGCAAAGAUUAUUACGGCUGGAUGCAUUUUGGCACUUAGCCAAGACCACCCUGUUAUCUUCAGGGAUACCCCUUAAAUACCUUUUCCAUUACGUCAGCCUGUUGCAUACUUACAGACCCUUAUGCAUAGUAAACUUUUCCCCAAAUUAGUUUACACGUUUCAAGAAUUGUUUAGCAUAUCUCCUCCUUGGAUCUGCCUUUUUAGAGCAUGUGUAUUCCUUGGUUGUGCUUUUAGUCCAUUUCUGUUACCUCCAGGUUUUUUGGGCUAUGGUCCACACUGUCUUCAGAUGGUGAGUGCUGAUAGUUGGCAUAUCUGUAGCAGGUGUCUUCUUCAUAUGUUCAUUGGAUGUUAUCCCAUCCAAGCAGGAAUUUUAACACAACUGUGAAAAAAGCCAUUCACUUGUGUUAAAAAUAGUAAUAAAAAUUAGGACAAUAAGAAUUUGGACAAUCAAAGUUAGGACAAUAAAAGGCAAUAAAAAGCAAAGAAUUACGGAUGUCCGAGUGCCUUGCACUCUGCCACAAAGCAUCCUUUGCUAAGAUUACCCCUUAAAAGCGAUAGCCUAUUGCAUAUUCAUAUAUCACAUACAUGAUUCAAACAUUCCUUUCAAACUAGAGUGUUUCUGCUUAAUUUCAGCUUCCCCCCUUCAUCUUGUAAAUCAAUCUUUUUGGUUCCUCUAAGUCUGAGCUUUCCCAAUAAGGAGGCAAUAAUUCUUUUCUUGGAAUCCUGUUGUAUCUCCAUCCAGAGAGGAUAAUGCAAAGAAUUUCUUGAUUAUCUUUUCCAUUCUUUGGGCUAGUUACAAAAAGUAUCUUACAUCACAUAAUUUCUAUUUUAAUAUUAUGCUAUACCCUAAAACUAUAUUUACCACACUACUUAAAAGAGAUUAAUAUAGCAUACCUUUCCAACAUAAGACAUAUAGUAUUCAUUUUAAUAUUUGAGAAGAGCCAAUCAUAUAAUAUGCAUUUUUCACAAUCCUCCCUCUUUCUUUUUAUAAAUAAUUUGGCUUGAGCAAUAUUCCUUGUUUUCUAGCCUUCAUUAUUCGCUCAUUUUUUUUACAAAUCAAUCUUGCUUCUCUGAAGGAGUCUUCUUUAUUAUUUUGUUUCUUUAACACCAUAAUCUUUUGCGCUGUUCUAGAUGCAGUCAACUUUUGGUCCAUGGACAUUGUCACUACUUGCAUGACUUGUACUACACUGGUGAUGAGCCGAAUGAAACAGGGGAUCAAAGGAGAAAGAAAUAUUAGACCAGCUGUAGUGCAUGAAAGGAAGAAGCCUAACUUCUUCCACCAUUCUAUUGCCAAUACAUCAUCCCACCAGCUAGUAUUUAGCAUUGAUUCCCACUUUUCAACUGGUACAUGGGCAGUUUUUCUGAUAUCAUUGACUAUAUCCAGGACAGCAUCCCCAUUGUCAUCUAUUUUUAAACAGCCAUCUGAUGUAUUGAAUUUUCCACAAAUACCUCCUUCUUCAGCUAAUAGAUAGUCUAAAGCCAACCUAUUCUGAUACGCAGCCACUCUUGUUUGGGUUUGUUGUCUUGAUAUUAAUUCCAUUGCCCGACCAGUUCUGUUGGUUAUUAUCUCUACAGCGGCUUGGAGUUUUCUAAUACAAUUUAGCAUAUAAAUUGGGGUUUGAUAUCCCCAACUCCCAUCUUGUGCCCAGGUGGCUGGCCCAUACGUUUCCAGUAUGCGUUCAGGGAGCCAUUCUUCAUCUGCCCAUUUUUGGAAUCCUCAAAUCAAAUCUCUUUUCUUUCUCUUCAGAUACUUAUAAACUGGUAUCCCUGAUUGAUCUUAAUCAGGUUCUGGUAAAAGAAAAAAUCCUGGCUGUAUGUUUCCCAGAGUACAGCUCCCUUUCCACUGAGAGGGGAGUUUUGGGUAUGCUCUUUUUCCAUAUAUCUAAAAUAAGCCAUCUGAAGCUUUCCAAUAAUAAUUUUUCUGUUUAUCUAUAUUCUCCCAAAAUUUGGAGAUUUCUGGGAUGCCAAAGUAAGGAUUCUUGCCUGUAUAAUUACAUUGAAAAAGUCUAAUUUUAUUAUUAUACUUACAAUUUCCUUUUUUUUAUUUUUCCCUGGGUCCAGUAUAGGAUUGGUUCCUCUUCUGGAAGAUUUUCCAUUACUAACCUUAUAUCUUUUACAGGGAGGAUUUCCUACUUCAUGAAGAAACCUUUUUCCAGUGCGCCAGAGACAUUCUUCCCCUACCACUAUUGAACUUAAAUCCACCCUUCUGGAUUUCCCAUUCCCAAACCUUGGCCAGAUCUAGGGGAAGGCUGUGAGGAAGAUGUCCCAGGACAUCCAGGCAGGCACUGAGCUGAUGAUGGAGACGACGGAGCAAAAAUCCCCAUGGCAGAACCUCAUGGAAAAGGCCAUUUUGAGCGGCUCCAUGGCACAGGAAUCCAAUGGGAAAUAAAAGCCCCAGAGAUCCCACAUGAGGAGGGGCUCCAAACCCAGCCCAGGGCGCUUCAAACAGGAAAGACCCACUCUGUGUCUGGAAAGUGGUUGGAGAUCCAGCUUGAGCUCUGACCUGGUUGUCCAUGAGCAGCAUCAAUUGGGGGAGAAGUCUUACAAGUGCUUGGAAUGUUGGAAGAGCUUCAGAGAUGGCUUCAACUUCCUCUGCCACGAGAGGAUCCACAAUGGGGAGAGGCCCUACUAGUGUCCCAAGUGUAGGAAGAGAUUUCAGACCAGCUCCAAUCUCCUGCACUAGCGGAUUCACACAGAGGCCUUUCUGCUGCCCUGACUGCGGGAAGGGCUUCAAGCUGAACUGCAACCUCAUCAGACACCAGUGCAUUCACACCCAGGAUAUGCCCUAUGAGUGUCCUGAGUGUGGGAAGAGCUUCUCCAGCAGCUCUCAUUUGACCAGGGACCAAUGGAGUCACUGGUAAGGGAAGCCCUGUGAGUGCCCUGACUCUUGCAAGCUUUAUCUGCUGCUCCAUCUUCCUCCCCUACUGGAGGACCCACAUUGGGAAGAGCUCUGCUGACCCACAUUCCUGGUGAUCCACCUUGGGAAGACACCUGUGCCUUUCCCUGCCCUGAAAAUGAUAUGAGGUGUAAUAGUAGAACAUGAGGAUCUAGCCAUGCCCAUAUCAUUAUAUUUGAUCCCACCUCAGGUCAUUGCCAGGGGCAGGGGAAGGGGCUCUUUCUCUCUCUCAUGAGGAGAAGGGUGUCCUUUCCAGGUGGGAGAAAAUACAUGGUCAGGAAAAGCUGAUCAGUGCUGUAGUUUUCCCAUUUUUAAAAAAUAAUUUGUGUUAUUCCUUCUGUUAUCAAUAUUGUUGCUGUUCCUGUUUGUUUGUUAACUCGUUGCUGUUCCCAGUAAAUUAUUCUUAUUACA